GUGAUCUUCACUCAAAGACCGUUGUGCUAGUGUCUCCGAACCUGCAACUCUGAAGCAUGCACUUGAAAGUCUAGUUGAGAUUCGGUCACUGAGUGUUUGGCAAGAGUCCUGAGAUGUGUACCUAGAUAUUUUAAGAUAUUUUUGUAUGUUUCUUGCAACGACAUUGUACUAUUGCCAGUGACUUUGCUCUGUCAACAACUGGAACAAAGCCUAUUCUUAUUGAACGAGUCAGAUGCCAUCAGACAAAGAAUGUACUUGCUAGAACAUUCUAGUGAAGAUGCAAAACUAGAGUCUGGAGUCUGUUUUUGGAAUGGAUGAUAGUCCUUCUGAUGGUUGGCAGAAUCAGAUGGAAGAAAAAUACACAUGGUGUGUCUGGUAGUGACAGUAGCUAACAUAUUACACCACUCCCGACCAGCCAAAGGCAUGUCAUCAAUUCAGGCAGCUGCAUUCAGAAGUCUCACAGAAAGCCUUACGGUGUGGAAGUCAGGUCAUGUUAUUGAGAUGAUCCUGAAUGCAACUCAGAAGUUGAACAAUGAAACAAGAAAUCAGGAUAGUGUGCACCACCUUUGAAAAACUAAGCCAAAACAUCAAAUUUACACACUGCACUUGUCCUGCUGGCGUAGCACAUUCUUGCAUUCAUGUGUCUGCGUGUCUGCUGCUCUGUGGUCAAUGGAAUCGUUUGGAAGCAAACUUGUUCCUACAUCUAAGCCCUGCUUGGAUAUGCCCAAGAAGCAAGGACAAGCCAACUGUACCUAUCACUAGUGUCAUCCUUAACAAGCACAAGAUUUUCAAGCUUUCUUCUAUGACUACCUUAAUAAAGCAUCAGAUUUUGAUCUUGAACCUCCUGCUUUGAGAGGAAAAGGAGUGGUCGUGAUGAAAGCUUUUACUACUGACCUGAUCAACAGGUACAAAGAAGAUACAAGCCGUUGCUUGUCAGUGUAUUUAUUCCCCAACCUCCCCUUCCUCCUCCUCUUCCUGUGCAAGAUCUGAGGACAACAUAUGUCUUUGUCAGAUGACAACCUGUUAUUAGCAACAACAGCAGACAGUACUGAUCCUGUCAGAGAGAUAGUUAAUACUGACCUAGAUGAUUUGAGUGCCAUGUGUGCUACUUUUAAAGCAUCCUUGCAUGUUUCCGAUGCACAGCAGUGUGCAAUUGAACUUGAAACAAGGGGCCAGGCGUCCAAUCCAAAAUGGUUGGGAUCUAGAAGAAACAGAGUAACUAACUGCCUCUACGUUUGCAGAUGUCGUGAAGAGGGAAGCCCAUGACAUGGCCAGAUCCUUUUGUAAAGAGAAUUUUGGGCUACAGUAAAGUUCUAACGUGAUCCAACUAUCGAUAGAUGACCAAGAUAGAUGACCCAGAUGGUGCGCGUGAGAUAAAGUGCCCAUUUUUAGUGCGGACAAAAACAAUCAAUGAAGCUACAUGGAUGGCUGGUUUUUAUUGCUUAUGGAGGAAUUGGCAAUUGCAUUUAAACAGAAAACACAUACUUCUACCAAGUGGCAAGGUCAGAUGACCAUAACAGGAAGAAUCAGGUGUGACUUUGUGGCAGAAUGAUAACACCAAACCAGCCCUACUCUUAAGUCAUUUGUUGUACAGUAUAAGUAUGAUUACUUGGACUGCUGUGUGGUAUAGUAUACUAAUUAGAUUAGGUACGUCUAUUUUGUGAGAAAAUACAUCUUUAGUUAG